AGUGAACGCUGGCGGCAGGCCUAACACAUGCAAGUCGAACGGCAGGACAGUAAGCGUUCGCCUCUACGGGUGGCGACUGGCGGACGGGUGACGCAUACAUCGGAAUCCACUUUUUCGUGGGGGACUACGUAGGGCAACUUACGCUACUACCGCAUAUGAUCUACGGGUGAAAGCAGGGGUUCAUCGGACCUUUCCUGACUGUAUGAGCUGAUGUCGGAUUAGCUAGUUGGCGGGGUAAAGGCCCACCAAGGCAACGAUCCGUAGCUGGUCUGAGAGGAUGAUCGGCCACACUGGAACUGAGACACGGUCCAGACUCCUACGGGAGGCAGCAGUAGGGAAUAUUCGGCAAUGGGCGCAAGCCUGAUCCAGCAAUGCCGCGUGAGUGAUGAAGGCCUUCGGGUUGUAAAGCCCUUUUAUUAGGAAAGAAAAACAGCGGGUGAAUCCACCGCUGUUCUGACGGUACCCAAUGAGUAAGCACCGGCUAACUUCGUG
rnacentral:rRNA from 1 species